rnacentral:lncRNA from 1 species
UGGAUACGUGGAACACAUUAUGGACUCUGGAGAGUUCUGGAGGCAGUGCUAGUAUGUAGGCAGCAGUACCAAACCUGUCUAAGAUUUCAAAAAGUCCAAUAAAUCGGGGGUUUAAUUUUUCCCUCCUGUCGAACCUACUAAUUCCCUUAAAAGGAGUGACCUUAAGAAACACCCACUCGCCUUUCUCAAACGCUAGGUCUCUCCUCUGGGUAUCUUCAUAAAUCUUAUGCCUACUCUGAGCUGUCUGAAUAUUCUUUCUGAUUUUAACUAUUUUGGACGUGGUCUCCUCUACCAACUCUGGGUC